rnacentral:lncRNA from 1 species
GCCAGCAGCUCAGUUAAGAGUGGGAUUUAAUAUCAAAUAAACCUCAUGAAUCAGAACUUAUUUAAAAUCAUUCAGAUUUGACUUUCUAAUUUCUUUCUUGGGUAGGAAAGCCACUUGGAAGCUUUUCCAAGAGCAAGGAGCAAAAUGGUUUUUUACCCAUUGACAAAGAUGUCUUUUGUAAGAUGCAGCAACGCUCUGCUUUAGGACACGUCGCUUUAAGCUGUGAAUCACUGUCUUUUUAAAGACUGAAGAGGAGAUGUUAGUGAUCUGCUGCAUGUCCCCAAGCCAGCAGGGAGAGGCGGCUGCUUUCUGAGCAGCGGCAGCCAGGGACUCUGCUGGAAGGUGCAUGAACUGCACAGGAAACAAAUGUGAGGUGGUUCGAGAGCUGGAGGUGCUGAGAGUAAGAGGACAUCAGAGAUCUUCUCAAGCAUCCUCUGGGGAAUCUUCCAAGAUUCUCUGUCUUUCAAGAAAAAGGAAAGAAAGACUUGUUAGAUAGCGCUUUUCAUCACAGAUGGACCUCAUAACUGGAAGAGGGGACCUCCAGGGAUUGGUUUGUGUAAACUUGACAACCACGGGUGCACCUAUUGCUGAACACCCUCUGCAAAGUGAUGAGGGCUUUUUUCUGUGUUUCCCUCAAAAUAAGUAAAUA